AUUUGGCGUCACAACAUCGAUGUCGAACCGUGUCAGAGUAGAAAUACAGCAGCACUAAGAAUCUUCUUUGUGUGUGGCGCCGUUUAAC
rnacentral:SRP_RNA from 1 species